rnacentral:tRNA from 1 species
GACCGCGUGGCAUAAUGGUUAAGACGUCUGACUUCAAAUCGGAAUAUUGCGAGUUCGAAUUUCGUCGUGGUCU